UACGGAGGGUGCGAGCGUUGUCCGGAAUCACUGGGCGUAAAGGGCGCGUAGGUGGCGACCCAAGUCGAUGGUGAAAGCUCGCCGCUCAACGGCGAGUCGGCCACCGAUACUGGGUUGCUGGAGCACUGUAGAGGCUCAUGGAAUUCCGGGUGUAGCGGUGGAAUGCGUAGAGAUCCGGAAGAACACCGGUGGCGAAGGCGGUCUGCUGGGCAGUAGCUGACACUGAGGCGUGACAGCGUGGGGGAGCAAAC
rnacentral:rRNA from 1 species